GACGAACGCUGGCGGCGUGCUUAACACAUGCAAGUCGAACGGAAAGGCCCUGCUUUUGUGGGGUGCUCGAGUGGCGAACGGGUGAGUAACACGUGAGUAACCUGCCCUUGACUUUGGGAUAACUUCAGGAAACUGGGGCUAAUACCGGAUAGGAGCUCCUGCUGCAUGGUGGGGGUUGGAAAGUUUCGGCGGUUGGGGAUGGACUCGCGGCUUAUCAGCUUGUUGGUGGGGUAGUGGCUUACCAAGGCUUUGACGGGUAGCCGGCCUGAGAGGGUGACCGGCCACAUUGGGACUGAGAUACGGCCCAGACUCCUACAGGAGGCAGCAGUGGGGAAUAUUGCACAAUGGGCGGAAGCCGGAUGCAGCAACGCCGCGUGCGGGAUGACGGCCUUCGGGUUGUAAACCGCUUUCGCCUGUGACGAAGCGUGAGUGACGGUAUGGGUAAAGAAGCACCGGCUAACUACGUG
rnacentral:rRNA from 1 species